CGCAUCUCUAAUUCCUUUUUCCAGACGUGGAUAUCCAUCUUCAAGAACAUCCACACCACGAACGCCGCUCCCGUCAUCAUCUCCGCUAUCUGCAUUUUGGUCCUUUAUCUGGUCAAAGCCCAGGUCAACGAGAGGUUCAAGGCAAAGCUCCCGGUCCCCAUUCCCAUCGAAAUCGUUGUGGUAAUACUUUCUACAAUCGCUUGCCACUUCGGAAAGUUCCCCGAAAAGUUUAAGGUCUAAGUCGUUUGAGUCAUUCCCAAAGGCCUUCCGGUCCUUAGCACCCCUGUUUUUUUUCCGGCGUGGACACUUAUUUUACUGAGGUCAUCGUAAUAGCAGUCGUCUCCUUUGCGCAAUCCGUUUCGCUGUCGGCCAUUAUGGCUAAGAAAAACAAAUACGGAAUCAACUAA